rnacentral:rRNA from 1 species
AUGUUUCUAUGGCGAUUGGCCCGUCAAUAUAUGCCAACUGGGACUGUUUUGCAACACCGUCAUAUGUCAACCGAAAACACUUGCUUACUCUGUGGAGCAGUGGACACAUGAAAGCAUGCACUGAUUACAUGCCCUAUGUCUGCGAGUAUAUGGGCGCUGGCGCCGGAGGAUUUGGUGCAACACAUGGUAGAACGAGGAGAGGAGAACCCAAAGGAUUGGCUCUUUGCUAUACAUGAAAUAUUAAUCAAAGAGCAGUUUGAUCGUUUGGUGGUGUCUCUUUGGGCAAUAUGGGGAGCUAGGAGGAAGUCCAUUCAUGAGAAUAUCUUCCAAUCCCCUCACUCAGUCGUCAGCUUCAUAUCUAGCUACUUAGGGGAGCUGCAGGUGAUCAAUGCCAAAACCCCGGCGGGGACGACGCAGAGACGCGUCAACCCAAGGGGGUGGCUGGCCUCGUCGGCGGGGAAUGCCAAGAUUAACGUUGAUGCGGCUGUAUCGAGGCGAGGGUUCGGCUCCAUUGGAGUGAUUUGUAGAAAUCAUGAAGGCAUGUUCAUCGGCGCGUCAACUUGUGGCUUCAGCAACAUUGUAGACCCACCGACUCUAGAAGCUCUAGCCAUAAGAGAAGCUUUGACACUGGCGGAUGAUCUAUAUUUGAGGCGGGUUGAGGUUGCAUCGGAUUGCAAAGUGGUCGUGGAAGACUUGCAGAAGGACAAUCUUGCGAGCUACGGUGCAAUUGUACAUGAAAUAAUAGCUCACUCUUCGGUUUUUGAGUUCUGUAAUUUUAAACAUGAGUCUAGGAGCUCCAAUUAUGAAGCUCACAACUUAGCGAGGCAUGCAUUAUCUCUUGGUGGUGGUCGCCAUGUCUGGUUAGGCCACCCCGGGAACCUAUCUUUCGUCCCUGUAAACAUUGUGACGACUUAA